CCCUCGAGGCGGCCGCGGAGCGAGGGGAGCCGGCGGGAAAGCUGCGGGGCGUGUUUGUCGGGCAGUUGGGAGAAACUCCGCCCGCGGAGCGAGGCGGCGUGCGCAAAGUGGCGGCUUUCACCUCAGAACUCGGGGGAAGCCGGGCAGGAGCGGCCGGGAGGGUCGGGCCGGGCCGGACGGGGACCCGAGAUGGCCACCCCGGGGCAGGCUGCGCGCACGUUGCCAUGCCAAUGCUCGUGUUUGUUGCUUACGGUUAUUUUAGUACUGCACGAUUUAAAAAAAAAAAAAAAGUUACUUAGGAGGGAGCGAACUGCUUGAAUUGUCGUUAGUUCCGAAAAUAGGUUAAUCUUUCACACACUCGCCGCUGCAUUAAAUUGCCCUGUGGACUUGAAUAACAAACACAGCUCUCUGAAGCCCCGAAACCAGGGAACGUUCGAGCAGUUUCAGGUGCCAGGGUGCGCGUUCCGUGGGAAAAAAAAAAAAAAAGUAGGGGGACGCCGAGGCACUGGCCGGGCCGAGCAGUCAUCUUUUCGAAAUAAGCUUUGGAGCCCAUCAAAGUGGAGUUUCGUUGGAACUUCCCGGGUUAAGGAAUCGCGUUGACCCGGUUCCACCCACCAGUGGGGAGCGUCCCUGGAAGUGACUGCGAAGACUUAGCAGCCCACGACUUGGUUGAUUGUGGAUAGCCGGUGCUUUUGCUGGACCUUUUUCUCUUUAAUUUUCCAUGCUUCGUAACGCGCUGCGUGUAUGCCCCACCGUUUGCCAGGCGUUAGUUGCGGAGUCAACCGGUCACUCAGUCACUUUGAAAUGAUCUGGCACUAGCUCUGACCUGUAAUGCUCACCCUCCUCCCUUUUUUUUUUUUUCCCCUAUUUGAAAGCUGUUUGGAAAUUUCCAAUGUAAUGGUUUCAAAUUGAUAGGGAUGUUUUGAGCAGAAGUCUGGCAUAAACAGAUUAUACUGAGUGGAUAAUGUGUUUUGAAAUUUAAAGCUCAUCCAAGAAACUUCCUGGUUUGUGAUAGGUGCAGGACAUGGGACAGCCGAGGAAGUGCCCCAAGGAGCCUGGUUAAGGAUGAGAGAACCAGCUCUGGGUUUGGACCCCCUUACCCUUAAGGAUUUCUGACAUGUGGAGCAUUUUCCUUUGAUUAGGGAACUUUGGUCAUUUGUCAUUUUCAAGAAGUUCUCGCCACAGAAAGCCCUCACUUUGAAAUUGAGUCCUUGUGGCAUGCAGCCAGCCUUCUGAAGGUUUUCAGUAUGAGAUGUAAGGGAAGAUUAGUUUGGGAUUUCUUAAUUCUUUCCGAGCAGCUGCUUUUGUACCUGGUCCUGUGCUGUGAGCUCCCUUUAAAUCUGGCUUCUGCUAGUCGUUGCUGACAUAUGUUUGUAUACUGUCCUGAUUUGGGGUAUUAAAUUUUUAUAACUUAUAAACAUUAUUUCCUGUAACAUGUAAAUAAAUGUUUGUUUGUUUUCCUUCUCUCCUUUUAAAGGAAGCUGUAGAAAUGGAUGAAUCAGGACUUACUCAGCAUGCCCCCCUCCUGUAGGUGUAGUUGACCUUGGUGGCAUCAUGGAGGUCAUGUGUUCAUGGAGAUCAAGGGUUCUGAACAGUAAAUCACUUACGCUUCAACUUUCCUGGUAUUGCUUGUAUAUUCUAUCACAGACGAACAGCUGUUUUGGGGUGGGGGUGACACUUUUAGAGCUUGUUUGAGGAGAAAUGGAAGGAGGGCAGUAUUGCUGGGGUGAAUUUUUUGGCUUAGGAAAGCAGCUGUGCUCUACUAUAAGAAAGCUGGUAUUUACAAAGUUUAAGAUUAUAAAACAAAUUAGUGCUUAGUUAUCUGAGAAUUCUUCAAAAAGGAUUCACUAAAAGGCACCUUCAGAUAAUUCAUCCUUUUAUAUGGGUCUUAUGAAAUAUGGUUUGAUUUGUGAAAAAUCAGUUGGCAUACAACAAUUUAGUUGGCAUACAAAAUUAGUUGGCAUACAACAGAUUUUUUUUAUAGGUAAGGAUUUUCAGUAUGUUUCUUGAGUUGCCCUUUUCCCAAAAGUAGGGACAAAAUUAAAUUCAGUGGCGUCCUACUUAUAUGCCACCUAUUAAUGUUUUACCUGAAUGGCAAAAUUGUCUUCUGUUUUAUGAUUUACCAUUUAAGGAGUACAUUGAAACCUAAUUAAAAUGCUUUUCUCCAUUGGGUAGAAUUUUCUGGUCAGGUUUGUUGGGAACCCCAUCCAAAGUAUUUUGGUGACUGAGGUAUCAAAAGCACCUUGUUGUCAGACAUUCUCACGAGGAUGGUGGUCCUGCAGCAGAAGCCAACAAGUGGUUAUACCCAGACUACAGCAAAAUCAAAACAAAUAGAUUGAGUCUAAAGUCUACAAGCAGUGAAAACUGUUAACCUUGAAAUUUUCUCUUAAGUGCAAAUUAUUCAGAAUUAAAGGCUUAAUUUUCCUAAACUGUAAUCUAUUUGGGUCACUUGUGAAAAUUGUUAUUUUGAUAAAAUGACUACUCCCAAAUUUUCAAAGGUGCUUCCCCCCAACCCCUUUGUGUUAGUACAUUGCAUUUAUUUGGAGUCAUAGGAGAUGUUGGAUGAAGUUCUUGGGGUGUUUAAUUCCGAAACCAUUUUGCUUUGGUUAUGUAAGAAUAGGAACUUGCAUUAUAGUAUGAGUAGAAUUGCUUAUGAGGUUACCUCCAACUUUAUGUUGGGAUAAGGAGGUAAGGGAGGAUGGGGCCACAAACUGAAUUAAAGUUAAUUACUCAAGCUUAGUUUGCUUUAUACUGUUCAUGCUGUUUGGGUAAGAGUAACACCCUCCCCUCCCAGCCCCCCCAUUGGAGGGAAAUCUUGUAAAAGAAGAGAUUUGAAGAAGAGCUAACUAAGCAUAUGGACAAAGGAAUGUUCAAGGGAUGUUUAGUAUGCUUAAUAUUUGUUGUCGUACAUUAGACAAAAAGCAAGAAAUUAAUGCUAAAUUUAGGCUGAGAACCCACUUGGUUUUGCUUCUCUUGGCAUAAUUGAAUAUUAUAAAAUUGAAAGAACAGCUUGAAUGAUGCCAUUGAUUUUUUUUUUUUUAGUGUAGGCUCUUAGUUCCUUAAUUGUACCAGUGAGUAACAAUGAAGACACAAGAAGAUGUAAUAUUUAAUGUUUUUAUUUUUUUAAAUACCAAGAGACUGUCUUACAGGAUUGCUAAUUUCAGAGCACGAUGAGGUUUUUUUUAAAAAGUACUUUAUGUUGAAUUUAUGAUUAAUGAGGGCACUCAAAAAUUUUAAAAGAUAUGGAAAUAAAGUAAGCACACUUUAUUUAUGAAGAUGUGUGAGAAUAGAGGUACUGAUUAGAAAUUUUAAUUGGAAGUUAAGGUUGAUUUAUCAUCUCAACUGCAUUAUUUAAUCCUGUGUCACUUUUAAAAUGUCACUUAAUUUUUCUGUUCCCAGUGUUCUUUUCUGUAAAAUGCAAUCAGCAGUUCCAUAUACUUUUUUUAAACUAAGAUUUUAAAAUAAUACUAGCUAGACUUCUCUUUUUAAAAUUUUUAUUUAUUUGAGAGGCAGAUAGAGAACUUCCUAUAGGCACACAGGGUCCUGGGCUGAAGCUGAGUGCCAGAAUGCACUGUAGGUCUUCCAUGUGGGUGGCAGGAACCCAGUUAUUUGCUGUUGCCUUCCAGGAUCUGCAUUAGUGGAGUCACAAGCCAGAACCAGGUAUUCUGAUGGUUGUCUUAACUGCAAGGUUAAGCACCCACCCUUUGCUAGACAUCUUAAGCAUUAGAUAAUACAAGUACACUGUAUGUGAUUUAACAGUUUAGACCUUGUAAUCUAUGAAAAUGUGAGAAACUUUUUAAAAUAAGAAGACUGUACUCAGUUUUAGUCAUUGGUAACCCUGUUAGGUUCUGUUUUCGUCUUUUCUCCCUGAAGAGUUUUCGUUCACUAUUACAUGUUUAAAUUUUCUAGACCCCCUUUAUACCAGUAUUAUGUAUGAGAUCAUCUUAUGUAUAGCAUCAGUGGAAAAAUCAUUUGUAAAAACUGUCUUUAUUUUCUUCCAGCUGUUCCCUCUGGGACAUUAAAUUUCAGUUAUUGAAUAUAAUUGUAGUUUACCCUAAGCAGAAGGAUUAUUGCAAACUAUGGACAAAUAUAAAUUUAUCGUGACAUAAUUUAUAUAUACUUAGUAUUUUGGUGGGGAUAGUUAAGCAUGGUUUAUAUAAUUUAAUAUUUCUAACCAUUAGUAGUGUCUGUCCUAAGUUAACUUUAUUUGAUGUGUUGUUAAAGCCAACAGAGUACGUAUAGUCUCCUUAAAAAUAUAUAUCUGUGGAAUAUUUUUUAAAAGGACCUAAAAAAUUUGCCCAUAAAUGAACAGAAGGUAGAAAUUUUGGGGCCAGUGCUGUAGCAAAGCGAGUUAAGCCACUGUCUGCAUUGCCAGCAUCCCAUAUGUUUGCUAGAUCAAGUCCCUGCUGUUCUACUUCCGACCCAGCUCCUGCUAAUGUGUCUGGGAAAACAUCGGAAGAUGGCCCAAGUGCUUGGACCCCUGUACCCACGUGGGAAAUCUGGAAGAAGCUCCUGGCUCCUGGCUUUGGCCCGGUGCAACCCUGGCCAUUGUGGCCAUGUGAGGAGUGAACCAGCAGUUGGAAGAUCUGUUUCUCUCUGUAAUUUUAAUUUUCAAAUAAAUAAAAUCUUAAAAAAAAAGUAGAAAUUUUACUUUGAAACCUUCUAAUUGAAUAUACAAUUAGUUAAAUUUUGUUUAGAGACUGUUUUGAUUGCCUUUAUUCUACACUUGAGGUUUUUUUUUUUUCGUACUGUGUGUUUAUGUGGCACUGCUUAGUAUGUUUUUAUUUCAGUUUAUAAACAAGCUUUUCUAAAUGAAAAGUCAUUUUGUUCUUAGUGAUUAUAUGGUAGUUCUCAGACUUUUAUGUUUGAAAGAAGUGAAAAUGAGUAAUUUAUUAAGCUGUUGCCUAAAAUAACCAAUUUAGUUGGAGCAUGUGAUAUAAUUUAUUUUUAGUAUAAUAUGGAGUUAUGAUCCACAUAAAUUUAUAGGAGAAUCUUUUGCUGUGUUUUAAAAUUUGGAAGUCUGUAGUAUGCCCAGAAAUUAAGUGUUGAAUACUAAAUGUUAGACUAAGUCAAUAUUGUGUGUAAAUAGUAUUCUUUUUACAAUGACAUUUAUGUUUUUGAUUAAGGGUCAGUUUUGAAGUAUUCUUUAAAUAUAUUGUACAUGUUGGUCAAAUGAUGUACUGAAGAAUUUAAUUUAUAUCCUAUUCUUUCUCCUUUUGGAAGAAAGGAAAUUGUAAAUAGUUGGCCUUUAGCCACAUACCAUGAGGCAACUUUUAAUCUGAUAGAGUGUCUGUAGGGUUGUUGUUUUCUCACAUUUUAUCUGAUAGAAGAUAUGAUAACUGUUAGAUUGUUCUUUAGGUCUUAAUAUGUGUUAAACAUUGAACAUUUGUUUGCAACCUAUUACUUAUAUAAAGUAGAUAACACUUUAAAAGUUCUUUUGACAAAUAUUGGUACCAGGAGAAGGGGAGAGUAAAGGCAGAGAGAAAGUGUAAUAUUUAGAUAGAAAGCAUGUUAAAGUAGUCAUUAUUUGCCUUUUUCCUGGGAUUAUAUAACCUUGCUUUUUAAUUAUCCCUUUGAAGAGUAAUGGACUGCCUUGAGAGCGUAUGUAUAGCUUUAGAGUUUUCCAUGGUGGCUGCUGGGAACAUAUUAUAUGGAUAUAAGGAAGAUCUGAAGCAGCUUUCACACUGGAGGUCAUUUUUAGUGAUCACAUUUAGAGUUCCAGAUUUUAGAAGGUAGGCGAACUAUAGGUAGCUAAAGCUAGGUGGAAAGGAUUUUUAGGCACAAAGACAUUGUUAAGAACAUUCAAGUUAACCAAUCUUGAGAAGAAAUCAGUACUAAUUAAUUAAAAUCAUAUUCUCUGUCUUUCAGCACUAUACCAGGCUUGAAUAUUCUGUGGCCUAAAUACACUAAUAUUUGUCUUACUGUGAAUCUUGACUUUUAGGCUAGAAAAUGUAGUAGCUCAAAUUAUAAUUUUAACUCACUUGAAAAAAAAAAACUGAUAAUGAUAAAAAAUGUUACACAUUUUGUUACUCAUUUUAAAAACCUAGUUUUUAAAAGAUUUAUUUUAUUUGAAAGAGUUAAAGAGGGAGGUAGAUACAGAGAGAAAGUUGGUUCACUCUCCAGAUGGCCGCAACAGCUGAAGCUUCGCGGAUCAGGACCCAGGAACUUCUUCCGGGUUUCCCACCUGGGUGCAGGGUCCCAAGGACUUGGGCCAUCCUCUGCUGCUUUCCCAGGCACAUUUAAGCAGGCAGCUGGAUUGGAAGUGGAGUAGCGGAGAACCGACGCCCAUACAGGAUGCUGGUGCCGAGGGCAGGGCUUUAACCCAUUGUGCCACAGCGCUGGCCCCAAAAGCCUAGUUCUGUAUGCUUAGUUCUGUGUACUGUAAUUGAUGAAAAGUGCUGGAAUGAAUCCUUGUACAUGAGAAGUUAGAAUCAUGUGAGGAGAGGCAUAAUGUAGUGAGUAAAACAUUUGUGUGGCUGUAUUACUUUUUCUUUGUAAAGCAGUGAUUUUGAACCAGUGUUCUGUGGGUCAAACAGGUUCAAUGUCAACGCUGUAGUUUUACUUUAAGUGUGCAUGAGAUUUCAUUUUAGAGCAGGGUUCUUUUGUUUAAAAAGUGUGGUAACCACUGUUGUUAGCAUAUUUGAUCUUACCACUCCCCUGCUUAAAUCCUUGCCAUGGUUUUUAUCAUUAUUAUUAUGACUGAUAAGACUUUAUCUAGCUCCAGCUUCAUUCUUCAUCUCUUAUCACUUUCCCUUCCUUUCCUUAUAAACCCUCCAUUCUAAUCCUUCUCAAAUUGUUUACUAUUCCCCAGAGGAAAAAAUGUGCUUUUUAAAUUUCCAUACCUUUGCACAUGGAACUGCCACCAUUCUCAGAUCAGUUAGGUAGCACCAUGUUCCCUUGGAACUUUUGUCGUAUUUCCAUUCAAACACUUAGUACAUUGUUUUGGAAGUGUGGCCUUUUCUGAGAGCAGAGACCAUGUCGUUUAUUUUGUAUCCAUACUACUUGGUGUUCAUUCGGUAUUCAGAUAUCUGUUGAAUGAUUGCAUUUAGAAUUUGAAAAGUAGAGCCGGCGCCGUGGCUCAAUAGGCUAAUCCUCCACCUUGCGGCGCCGGCACACCGGGUUCUAGUCCCGGUCGGGGCGCCGGAUUCUGUCCCAGUUGCCCCUCUUCCAGGCCAGCUCUCUGCUAUGGCCAGGGAGUGCAGUGGAGGAUGGCCCAGGUGCUUGGGCCCUGCACCCCAUGGGAGACCAGGAAAAGCACCUGGCUCCUGGCUCCUGCCAGGAUCAGCGCGGUGCGCCGGCUGCAGCGGCGGCCAUUGGAGGGUGAACCAACGGCAAAAGGAAGACCUUUCUCUCUCUGUCUCUCUCUCUGUCCACUCUGCCUGUCAAAAAAAAAAAAAAAAAAAAGAAUUUGAAAAGUAGUAAAAUUACUUGAAUGUACAAUCAUGUGAAUAAAACAUUCCAGAUGCAGUCUGUGUAAAGCGUUUUAAGCGAUGGUGUCAGGCAUUAUGCUAAAUAUAUAAAUGGUACCACAUUGUACUCAUGAAGUAUAAUAAAGUCAAAAGAUAUAUUAUAUGGAAAGAUUAGAUUAAGUUACAGUGGCUUAAGUGGUGCCUUGGAUUUAGUCAUCUAAUCCUAAAAGUGAAUUGUGAAAGCAUUUUAAUAAUAAUUCUAUAUAGUCUUGGUUAUUUCUUUAAAUAUUUCUUUAUAUAUGAUUAUUCAAGUGUCAAGGCUCAUAAGAAGAGCAUUGCAGCAUCCAUCCUUAGAGGUUAAAAAAUGUGCCUUUGAGCUGUUCUGCCUGAAUUCAUAUCACUCUCCUGCCUGUCAGUAGCUGUGUGGUCUUAGACAUCUUUUUGUUUUUAAGAUUUAUUUAUUUAUUUGAAAGAGAGAGGAGUGAAGAAGGGAGAAGGAGAGAGAGAGAGAGAGCUUGAGAGAAUGAGUGAGUGAGGCAGAUCUUUGAUCCACUGAUUCACUCCCCAAAUGGCUACAGGCACCAGGGCUGAGCCAAGGGGAAGCCAGAGGGUCAUCCAGGUGCAAGAGCCCAGCACAUGGGCCAUUUUCUGCUGCUUUUCCCCCGGCCAUCAGCAAGGAGUUGGAUUGGAAAUGGAGCAAUUGGAACACAAACCAGUACCCGUAUGGGAUAUGGGAUAUGGACAUCAUGAGUAGCAGCUUUACCAAAAAUUGCACAAGUUUCUUAAUCAUUCUGUAACUCCAUUUUCUCAACCUUAAAAUGAAGAGAAUUAAUACUACCUUAACAUUGCUGUUGUGAAGAAUGUACAUGACUUUAUGCUUGUUAAAGACUUGAAAAAUGUUAGAUGGGGCAAGCAUUUGGCAUAGCAGUUAAGUUGCCACAAGGGGUCCCAUCAUUUCCAUCUUUUAAAGGUAAUAGCUUUAAUGCAUGAGUAUCUGAUUCAAAAGAGACAACAUCCGUGGUUUUACUUUCUGCAGUUUCAGUUAUGGUCAAGUGUGGUAUAGAAAUAUAAAAUGGAGAGUUCCAGAAAUAAACAGUUCACAAGCUUGAAAUUGCACUCUAUUCUAAGUAGUGUGAUGACAUCUCCCACUGUCCUCCAUCCCUCUCAGGAUGUGACUCUUCCCUUUGUCUAGUAUUCACCUCUGUAUGCUGCCUGCCCCUCAGUGACUCAGUAACCAUCUUUUUAAUCAGAGCUACAGUCAUGAUAUUAAAGUGUUUGUGUUCAAGUAAUCUGUAAGUAGUAGCCUAACAUACAUACCUAAGUCAGUCAUCUUACUUUAUCUCAUGUGUCCCUUGUCUCAUCUCACAUUGUCACAAGAAUGGUGACAAUAAGUACAACAAGAUUUUGAGAGGCAGCAUCGUGGCAUAGCAGGUAAAGUGCCCACCUGCAAAGCCAGCUUCCCACAUGGGUGCCAGUUUGUGUACUGGUUGCUUUACUUCUGAUCCAGUUCCCUACUAAUGCACCUGGGAAAGCAGCAGAGGAUGGCCCAAGUGCUUGGCCCACUGCACCCAUGUGGUUGACCUGCAAGAAGCUCCUGGCUCUUGGCUUCUGCCCAGCCACGCCCAGCCUAGCCCUUGUUGUGGCCAUUUGGGGAGUGAACCAGCAGAUGGAAGUUCUCUCUCUCUGUAUCCCCCUCGCUGUCUGUAACUCUACCUUUCAAAUAAAUAAAUACAUCUCAAAAAACUUUUGAGACCAAAUUUUCAUAACUUUUAUUAUAGUAUACUGCUAUAAUUGUUCUAUUUUAUCAUUAGUUGUUAGUAAUCCCUUAUUGUGCCUAAGUUAUAAAUUAAACUUUAUCAUAAGUAUGCAGGUAUAGGAAAAAGCAGAGUUACAGGAUUCAGUACAAUUGGUGAUUCUGGCAUCCACUGUAGGGUACUGGAACAUGUAUCCCCUCAAGGUUAACAGAGGGGGAACUAUUGGGUUGCUGUCUUUAAACUGAUAACUGUUUCAGCACAUUCAAAGUGUAAAUUGCAUUCUUGUUGGGUGGAUUGACUGAUUCACUGAUGUGCGAGACUUAAAACUUAAGCCUGGCUGUUCCACUUCCAGUCCAGCUCCCUGCUUAUGGCCUGGGAAAGCAGUGGAGGAUGGCCCAAUUCCGUGGGUCCCUGCACCCAUGUGGGAGACCCAGAAGAAGCUUCUGGCUCCUGACUCAGCUCCAGCCAUUGCGGCCAUUUGAGGAGUGAACCAGCAGAUGGAAGACCUCUCUCUGUCUCUGUCUCUACCUCUCUCUGUAACUCUUGUCUUUCAAAUAAAAUGAAAAAUCUUCAAAACAAAACAAAACUUAAGUUCUCCUGAUAUCUGUGGCUUAGCAUUGUGUUCCUGUGACCUGCAUUUCUUGGUAGUUCCCCAAGAGAAGAGGGAGAGAAACAGAGAAUAUAAAUCCAAUGACAAGCUCUUUAGUCUUAGCCUGUAAUAAGUCCUAAACUUUGGUAUUCCUUAGAAGAUAAGUGUUCAGCUUUAUUUUUUUCUUCAUUUUCACACUGUAUUUUUUUAACUUGGAAAAAUAGAUCUUUAAACAUCUAAAUUUGUUUUAUUUCAGAAAGGCACAUGCAGAAUUAUUUUUUUUUUAAUUUGUGAAGCUGUUUUUAAGCCCAUUUUUCUACAUAUAUACUUGCAGUAAGAGAAGUAGGCAAGGCAUUAGUAAUUUGUAUCAAGAACUAUGUACUAUGAAAUUCUGUUACAUAUUCACAUUUAAGAUACAAAGAAGAACUUAUCAGAAAAAAUUUGUCUUUCAAAGUAUUCAUUUCUUACUAUAGCAAAUAAUAUUUUGUCCUUAUAGCCUAGUUUAACUUUUGCACUCAUGUGCUCUCAGUUAACAAUUGAAAUAUAAUGAAAAGCUGGCUGGGUAAUUUUCUAAAAAUAUUUCAUUGAAGGAAUUUUAGCAAGUAAUUUUCAUUGUUUAGGCUAGCAGUCAGUAAGUUGAAAAUGGGUGACUGGGAUAUAAAGAUAAAUGCCAGAAAGAUAGUCGGGAUCAGACACUUAUUUUUCUACACUAAUGACUUGCUGCAGAGUCUAGACUAAGGAGACUGUAUGGGAAUUUGGAAGCUCAGAAUGAGACUGGAAAAGUGCUAGAAUUUGAAUAGUGUAAAAAAAAAAAAAAACAAAAUAAGACAUUAGCAAGGAAUCAUUCAUCAUCAUCAUCAUCAUCAUUUGAGAGGCAGAGACAGAGAGCUCCCACCUGCCUGAAACAGCCUUGGUGAGUUGAGGGCCAGAGCCAGGGCUAGGCUGGGCCAAAAGCCUGAGCUGAUUGCAAUUCAGGUCUCCCAGCUGGGUAGCAGGAACCGUUAUUUGAGCCAUCGCCUGUUGCCUUCCAGGGUCUGCAUUGAUAGGAAGCUGGAGUUAGGAAAUAGAGUUGAGAAUCAAACCCAGAUACUGGCCGGUGCCGCAGCUCACUAGGCUAAUCCUCCGCCUGCAGUGCCAGCUACACUGGGUUCUAGUCCCAGUUGGGGUGCUGGAAAUUUGCAUUACUUUUUUGGCAGCCACAUUACUCUUUGAUCAUACUGAGUUUAUGGUCAACUAAAACCCUGUCUCUUUUUCAUGUGAACUGCUUUGAAUCUAAUCUCUCUCAUUCUUUACUUGACAGUUGAUGCUUUGAAAGUAAAUCCAAGAUGUUAUGUGUUGCAUUAGUAUAAAAGUUUAAGUGAAUUUAUCUUUUUUAGAUUUCAUCCCAUCUGACUGUCUAGAUAUCAGCUAACAUCUGUAUAAAAUAGCAGUUCUCAUGGUACUGUCACAUCUUUUACAACAACUAUUUGAGAAUCAGAAUGGAAAAAAAACUUUCCAACAAAUCAUGACUUGACAGAUGUAGUACUUUGUUGCAAGACUUUUGAUUACAGAUCCCAUACUCAUUUCAUCACUGUUCAUUCAUUUAGUGUUUCCAUUUCAACAUGGUAGGCACUGUGUGUGGUGUUGGUGUAUCAGAGAGCAAGAAAGAUGAUAGUCUCUAUCCUUCUGGUAUUUAUGACCUGGCGUAUAAUUUUAUAUAUAUAUAUAUAUAUAUAUAUAUAUAAAACAUAUAUACAAUUACUACCAAAUACUCAGCACUUUUUAUGGGAAGGAACUGUGAUAGAUUUAUUGUUCAGAAGUUUUUGUUUCCUCUAUCAGGAUCCUGUCUGUAGUAGGUUUGUAUUUCCGACUCUGUUUUCAUCACAUUCUGCCAGUGGGCAUUUCUUGACCAGUAAAAUGUUUGAGAACCACCAUAUCCCAUGUUGGAACAGAAGUUUUCCAUCUUGUAGUUCUGCCAGUGGCCCUUGCCCUUCAUUUUGUGGAACCUGAAUGCCUUAGCUAGAACUGGUUGCAGAAUUAUGAAGCAGAACUGAAACUGAUUCAUGAUAGACAUACAAAGUAAAAUAAACACUUUGUUGUAAGGUACCAUAACUUUGGAGUCUUUCUUAACCAUCAUGUAGUAUUGCACAAACAGUGAUACAGACACAUAUGUACUAUACAAAGAUAGAUAAAACUUAGACAUUAUCCUCAAGGAGCUUCCCAUCCUGGUGGGAUGCCUUUGAAGUUGAGGAAGAGGAGAAUGUGUUUUAUGAAACAGUCGUUGGAGUUGAGGAUCAUUUUUGGCCUAUAGCUUACCUCCAGGUUGAAUUGGUCAUUAUGAUAUAAAUCUUGGUCUGUGAUACAGCUCCUCAUUGUCACAAUCUCUUCUGUAGAUCCUAUAAGCAUGUUUUCUAUACCCUCAUUCAGACCACCAUUUUGAAAACAAAUAUUUAGGGGCCAGCAUUGUGGUGUAGCAGGUUAAGCUACUGCCUGUUAUACCAACACUGGCAUCCCGCAUUCAAAUUUCCCAUUGCCAUUAUCUGUAUAAGGGCCUCACUCUGUGUGGGAUUGUAGACAGAAAGUGUAGAAUGGAAUUCUGCAAGGAGUUUUUUUCCUCACCCUGAGAAGCUAAAGAAAAUGUGGCUAGUAUUCAGGGGAGUUUUGAAACCUUUGAAAUUACUACCUGUAAAAUUUUAUGUAAAUAUCCAUUGUUCUGGCCCCUAGUUUUUAUCAAACUAUCAAAGAGAAUCCUAACUCCCAACACUUCUGGCAAAUCUUUUUUUCUUUAAAUAGCUUUAUUAACAUAAUUUUUGUACAGUAAGCUACACAUACUGAAAAGUGUACAAUUUGGUAACUGUGACCAGUCUAUGCCCAUGAAACUGCCAUCAUAUACAGACUGAAUGUAUCUGUCACCCCCAAAAGUUUUCUAGUUUUCUUGAUAUUCCUUCUUGGCAUUCUCUGGGCAACCACAAUCUCUGCUUCUUCACUUUAUAUUUGUUUGCAUGUCUUAAAAGUACAGUACUGGGGCCGGCACUGUGGCAUAGUGGGUAAAGCUGCCACCUGCAAUGCCAGCAUCCUAUAUGGGCACUGGUUCAAGUUGUGGCUGCUCUGCUUCUGAUCCAGCUCUCUGCUAUGGCCUGGGAAAGCAGUAGAAGAUGGCCCAAGUCCUUGGGCCCCUGCACCCACAUGGGAGAUCCAAAAGAAGCUCUUGGCUCCUGGCUUUGGAUCGGCGCAGCUCCGGCCAUUGCAGCCAUCUGGGGAAUGAACCAGUGGAUGGAAGACUUUCUGUGCCUCUGCCUCUCUGUAAUUCUGCCUUUCAAAUAAAUAAAUAAAUCUUUAAAAAGAUUAAAAAAAAAUCAAGCACACGCAAAUACAUGCAUACAUAAGUAACAAGCAAAGAAAACAGAAUUCUAGUUUCCAUUUUUUUUUAAAAAAGUACAGUAUGUGUGCUUUCUGUGUGGCUUCUUUCACCUCCAUGUUUAUUUUGAGACUCAUCUAUGUUGUGGCAUGUGUCAGUAGUUAAGCUCUUUUUUAUUGCUGAAUAGUAGUCCAUUGUAUGGGUAUACCACUGUUUGUAUGUACAGCCACCUGUUGAUAGACAUAUGGGUUGUUUCUAGUUUUUGGCCUUUAAAAGAUAAGCAUCAGUGAAGAUCCAUGUGUUUAUAUAGACAUAUGCUUUUCAUUUUAUGGACAUGUAUUUAUAUGGACAUAUGCUUUUCAUUUCUCUUAGCUACAUACAAGGAGUAGAAUGGCUGAAUCAUAUGAAAAUAUACAAGUUUCUCCAAAGCAUUCUGAUUGACGACUUGGAUUUCAAAGCUUCCACACAGUCGUGUUGCCUAGAAUUGACUGCUGUUUGAGUACCCUUUUCAGUUCCCUGUUUCAGACAGUUAAUGCCAUGUCAAGUGUAACUCUGAAGAACCCCGUUUUAGUCACAUGGACCACAUCUCAUGAUUGUCAGGUCAUGCAGAUGCAGUCUCUGGCUUUCAGGUGGAAAGUUUUUAAGAAAAUGUGAGUACAGACCUACCAACAUGAUUAACAUCCAUGCAGAUACAAUGCUUUACAUUUCAGAUGUGUUUUAUAAAUUUAAUUUUAGUUUUACUUAAUCUUCACAACCUCUCUCUGAGAGCUUUCUUCCAUGUUGUAGAAUUCUUUUGUUUUUUAGACUGGGAAACUGAUUUAGAGUAAUAAUGACUUAACUUCAGCCCACAUAGUUAGUAUUAAGGGGACGUACAAGGAGUUGAAGGCACAAUUGUGAACUCUUCCAGGAAACUAUAAACAGACUUUGUGAAUGAUAAAUUAGGAGAGUUAUUUAUCUCUCUUGUCUAGAGAAAAUUUUUUCUUAAGUAUAGUGUUAAGUAGAUUUUUUUUAUCAGGCUUGAAAAAAGAAUAUUUAAAGCUCAUGGGUUAAUUUCUGAAAAUUAAAUUGCUCUGAAUGUUCAAAAAUAGUAAGCAUGCUUCAGGGCAGGACACCUCUUUAAGGUUAUAAACAUGUUCUCAGUGUCACUAAGGUUCACAAUUAGUUUUCUUAAAUUCCUGUUUGCCAAAAUGUCUUUUUGUUUGUAUAUUGAGGAAGAAGUUGGCAGAUUUCCUCCAGAUGUGGAUUUUGAAAGUUAGGCUUUGGUGAAGUGUAGUUUGCAUUUUAGUGCUAUUCUCUAGAAUUAUGUAGAACUUAAAUGUUGUGGGUUGGCUUAUAGGGCACAUGAAUCAGGUAAAGCACACUAGAAUCUGUAUUGGUUGUCAGUUUUGUUCUGGGUUCAAUUCAUGGUGUUUACUACUCUAAAACAGAAGUUGGAAUCCAUGCACAUCCAGUUACAUGAAGAAAGAGACUCUGCUUUUCAGUUAUUCAAUGCCGUAGACCACAGAUCUACUCACUCCGUUUAUCCUGAUUUGAGUGGUCUUAAAAACUCAGAGUUAGCUAUGUUGUUGUUCACUAGUUUUACCAUACCUAUGACCAAGGUUUUCAGUGGGCAGUAUUUUAAGAAUCUAGAGUGCUGGCUCCCAUUCAGGUCACUAUCAGUUUUGAUUAUGAUCAAGAAUUGUGGGGCUAACAUUCUGAUUAUUCUAUAGUUUUAAGGGGAGGAUUUGGCCAUUUUAUCCAAAGUAUUUCCCUACCUUACUUUCUUUUCUGGGUUUGAAGCAUCCCAAUGCAGACUAUGUCAAGUGAAUACCUAAUGAAUCAGUCUUAUAUAAAUGUAUGGCACCCGGCCGGCGCUGCGGCUCACUAGGCUAAUCCUCCGCCUAGCGGCGCCGGCACACCGGGUUCUAGUCCCGGUCGGGGCGCCGGAUUCUGUCCCGGUUGCCCCUCUUCCAGGCCAGCCCUCUGCUGUGGCCAGGGAGUGCAGUGGAGGAUGGCCCAGGUGCUUGGGCCCUGCACCCCAUGGGAGACCAGGAAAAGCACCUGGCUCCUGGCUCCUGCCAUCGGAUCAGCGCGGUGCGCCGGCCGCAGCGCGCCGGCCGCGGCGGCCAUUGGAGGGUGAACCAACGGCAAAAGGAAGACCUUUCUCUCUGUCUCUCUCUCUCACUGUCCACUCUGCCUGUCAAAAAAAAUAAAAAUAAAAAAAAAAAAAAAAAAAUAAAUGUAUGGCACCCGUGUUACAGGAAGCCAAGCUACACUUUCUUUGUGAAGAAUAAUAAUGGAGAAAAUGUAUAAUUAUACUGAAGUGAUAGACUAAAUUAUCCACUAGUACUUUCUGUGGUUUUACCUUCACCCUCUACCCAAAGUGCAGCAGUCAUUUAAUCUGUAAUACCAUCACUCCAUUUUGAGUAGUUGUUCUCACAGUUCUGGAGGCUGGGAAGUCCAAAAUCAAGGCCCCAGCGUCCGUGAUGGAAGGCAGAAGGGCAAGAGAUGCUCUCAGGGGAAGAGGGAGGAGCCAAAUUCUUCUUUUUUUUUUUUUUUUUUUUCCCCCAAAACUCACUCCAGAAAUAACUAACCAACUCCCAAGGUAGUGGCAUUAAUCCAUUCAUGAGAGCAGAACCCUCAUGACCUAAUCACUUCUUAAAGGUCCCACUUCUUUUAAAAUUUUAUUUGAAAGAGAGUGAGAAAGAGGGAAAGAGGGAUCAAUCUCCCAUCUGCUGAUUCACUCCCCAAAUGCCCACAACAACCAGGGCUGGGCCAAGCAGAAGUCAGGAGCUAGAAAGUCUCCCAUACAGGUGAGUUCCUGCUGUCUCUGAGAGUGUGCGUUAGUAGGAACAGGAAUCGGGCAGACCCGAAAUUCAAACUCAGGCAUUCCAAUAUUGUGUGCAGGUAUACCAGGCAGUGUCUGAACUGCUAUGCCAGGGAUCUGGAUAGGAAGUGGAGCAGCAGGACAUGAACUGACACCCAUAUGGGAUCCUGGCAUCUUAGGCUGUAGCUUUAGCUGCUACACCAAAAUGCUGGCCCCUGCAGUCCUUUAUUGUUUGUGGGAAAAAAAUUUUAAAAAUUAGGAGCCUUUCAAAAUUGUGUCUGUUGGCUUUUUUCAGUAGUUAUCCUGGAAAUCAUGCUUGUGCUUGUGUAAAGAAAUCAUUAUAACUUAGUUUUAGACUUUUGUUGUUUUAAUAGAUAAUUUUUAUAAAGAAAUUAUUAUUUAAUAUGUUUUAGAUGAAAGGUAAUCUUGGUUUUGAGGGAGUGUGAUUUGCUGUAUUUCGCUUAAUCUUUGUCUUUCUGCAAAGUGGUAUGAGAAGCAAAGUAGUUUAAACAUGUUGCGUUAUACACAAAGAUCAUGUGUAUAACGUGAUAUACAAUGUGUAUCCCCAUAUACACAUUGUGUGUGUAGAUAUAUAUAUAUAUAUAUAUAUGUAAUGUGUAUUCCUCUUAUUAUCCACUUUGCUCAUUUCCAUGGACGGUGUGUUCCUAACCUAAACUAACCGGAUAGGAGAGGAAAAAAUAGAAUCUUAAUAUAAAUCUUCUGCCACUGAAACCCACUGUAUUCAUUAUUCUCUACAGUAGGAUGUUUUUACUAGUAAAAGAGAUCACUUCUAAUAGUAUCAAGGCAACAAAUUAGAACUAUUCUGGGAAAACCGAGGUGUAUGGUCACUGUAAUCAGUAGAGUUGUGUGUGUGUGUGUGUGUGUGUGUGUGUGUUAGAUUUACUUAUUUAUUUUGAAAGUUAGAGUUACAGAGAGAAGGGGAGAGACAGAGAAAGAUCUUCUGUCUGCUGGUUCACUCCCCAGAUGGCCACAUGGGCCAGCACUGGGUUAAGCUGAAGCCGGGUACCAGGGGCUUCAUCCAGAUCUCCCAUGUGGGUGCAGGGGCCUAAACAUUUGGGCCGUGUUGUGCUGCCUUCCCAGGUGCAUUAGCAGGGAGCUGGAUCGGAAGUGGAGCAGCCAGGACAUGAACCGAUGCCUGUAUGGAUGCCAGUGUUGCAAGUGGCAGCUUUACCCACUGUACCAUGUUGGUUCCUAUUAUUUUGAAACUCUAGGUUUAGGAGAGAAAAACCCAUUUUUGCAUGUAUCAGAAAUGUAGGAUAGCAUGUAGGAUAGCAGGGUACUGUCUUUAAUGUGCAUUUGUUAAGUUUGUAAUGAAAAUUUUCUUAUGUAUUUGGAUUAUUUUGGAAAAAUUACAGUUGGUAGACCAUUUAUUCUCUUGUUAAUUUGUAACAUUAACUUUAUGACUUUUGUUUCAAGAUGUAAUAUUUAUCAUUGAGAUCCAGAAGUUCUAUAAAUCAUUGGCUAAAGAUGGUGCCUGGUGACGUUUGUGUCUCUUCUUCCGGUUUUAAGUUGUUGUUCAGAAAGUCUGUUGUUGUAAACAUCCCCGACUGGAAGCUGUAAAACAACUAAGCUUUCAGUCAGAUGUUUGCUGCUACCGGCUAUUCACAGACGUCAUCUAGCUAUAACUGUACGUAAGGAUUGAAGUUGAGGAGACUAUAACACUUAGAAUCCUCAGAUUCCUGUUCUCCCCAACAGUGCAUGUAUUCUGAUAGUUUAAUGUGGAGUGCUGCCCAAUCACAGGAUAUGCCGUCUGAGUUUCCCAAGUUAACAUGCUGCUGCUGGCUUGUAGAGAACUGAGUGAAAAAAUUUCGUUCUACUGUGGACUGUUAUUCCUGUUUAUGCUCUGUCCGUUAACUUUUAGUCUUUCAGUUUUUCCAAGUAGGCUACAGUUUAACUUCCUCAGCAGUGUUCAAGAGACUGAUUUUUCACUCUUAUAAAUGCUGUGAAAGUUCUAGAGGCUAAAGUUACCAUCACCACCCAGCAAUAUACUACAGAGAAAUUUUGAAUUUUCUCUGUAGUUAAGAGAUGUGUGUCAACUUUUUUUUUUUUUUUUUUUUUUUUUUGGCCAGGCAGAGUUAGACAGUGAGAGCGGUGAGAGAGAGAGACAAAGGUCUUCCUUCCGUUGGUUCAUUCCCCUGAUGGCCACUAUGGCGGGCACUGCGCCGAUCCAAAGCCAGGAGCCAGGUACUUCUUCCUGGUCUCCCAUGCUGGUGCAGGGGCCCAAGCACUUGGGCCAUCCUCCACUGCCCUCUCGGGCAACAGUAGAGAGCUGGACUGGAAGAGGAGCAACCAGGACAGAAUCCGGUGCCCCAACCAGGACUAGAACCCCGGGGUGCUGGCGCCGCAGGCGGAGGAUUAGCCUAGUGAGCCACGGCACCGGCCAUGAUGUGUGUAAACUUUUUCUCCCUUCUGUCACUAUCUCCACUUCCUGUUCUCACUCUUAAUGAUGGCACAGCUCCUAAUUGGAAUCCUCAAAAAAACUGCAAGACUUUAGACCAUUAAGUUGAUUUACAAUCUUUGCUAAUGGUUUUACAGAUAUAUUUGUAUAUUAGAUAUGUUUUCCUAAGUAUAUUCAGGUUAUUCCUUGGCUCUUCUCUUCCUCCUGAGAACAUGCCUGCUUUGUAAGCAGCAGGACUCUGUUUUAUGAACCUUCACAUUGCUGAAUAAUCCUGGACCUUCCUGAAAGAUGGCAUUCAGUGUGACUAAUUGAAAACAUAUAAUUUUGUAACAGCUAUUUUCCUGAAUUUAAAAAAUUUUCUUUCUUAUAUAUAUGUGUCUUAUAUACUGUAAAACAUUUCUAUUUUGACAUUCCUCUCUCCAGUUGAAAACAUAAUAUUUUUAUCAUUUGUUAUUUUAGAAGAUUUAUUUUGUAGGACCAGUGCUGUGGCAUGGUAGUUUAAGCCUCCACCUGCAGCACCAGCAUCCCUUAUGGGCGCUGGUUUGAGUCCCAGCUACUCCACUUCUGAUCCAGCUCCUGGGAAAGCAGUGGGAGAUGAUCCAAGUACGUGGGCCCCUGUACUCACGUGGCUUCCCUGGAAGAAGCUCCUGGCUCCUGGUUUCAGAUAUUGGCUCUGGAGCCAUUUGGGGAGUGAACCAUCAGAUGGAAGACCUCUUUCUCUGUCUGUAACCCUGCCUCUCAAAUAAACAAAUCUUACCGAAAAAAAGAUUAAUUAUUUGAGAGGCAGAAUUAUAGCAAGAGGGAGAUAACAGAGAGAAAGAAAGAGAGCUUUUCCAUUCUCUGGUUAACUGUGCAAAUGGUUGCAAUUGUCAGGACUGGGCCAUGCUGAAGCCAGGAGCCCAGAACUCCAUCCGGGUCUACCACAUGGAUGCAGAAUCCCAAACACUUGGACUUUCCGCUGGUUUCCCAGGUGCAUUGACAAGGAGCUGGAUCAGAAGUGGAGCUGCCAGGAUUCAAGCCAGCACCUAUAUGGGAUGCUGUUAUUAUAGGCAGUGUGGUUGAACCCAAGCACCACCUUGCUAGCCCCUAUAAUUAAUAUUAAAGUACUUAACAUAAUACAAUGUUAGGUUCAAAACAUAAUUAAAACCAAAAAUUUAACUUUACCUGCUUUUUAUAUGCUUGUCUGCUCUGAUUAGAUCACUAGCUUCCUGAGAAUGGGUGCAUUAUCUUUUUAUAAUUCUAUGUUUUCCUGCCAUAAACAUCUAGUAAAAUACUUGCAUGUAUAGCACUCUAAUAAUUAUUUUAUUGCAACAAUAUGUACUCUUUUAUCUUUCGUCCAGGGGAACAAGUGACACUUUGGGUCCUAAUGUAGUUACUCUAGAGCUUUCCGUGCUAGAGCAUUUGCUUGUAAAUGUUCCCUUGUUAAAGUACUGGUGUCCAAGACUGUUUGUGGGAAAAGAUUCAUUGCUUCAGACAAAAGUAGCUUUGCAGUUCGUAAGUAUAAUUCCCAGGUUUAAUGAUCAGCAUGCUUCAAGCAUCCCUUUCUGUGCCCCUCUGUUUUAGCAUCUUGGAAGGCUGAUGUUUCAAAUAGCAGUAAGUGGAUAGAGCCCUGCUUAUUUCCUGUGAAAAACUUUGACAUAUAUAGCGUUAACAUUCAGUGAGAUGGAUACAAAUGGCAUAAUUUAAUAAUUUGCACAGAUGAAUUUGAAAGAUUUUUUAAAAUGAUAGAUCAGAUCUAAGCUAAAAAAGAGGUAGGUGCUCUGCGUAAAGCUAUUGUAUUCUGACAGCUACUCUUGUUAUCCCUAGAUGCGGCAGGAUUACUGGCACAAUCUGUGUUAUGUAACAUUUGUUCUGUAUUACUCUGCCCUAAUGAGUUGCAUCAAAACGCAUGUCAGCUUUAAUUCCAGCUACCUUUGUUUCACUGUACUUUUUUUUUUUUUUUAAAUGAAGAAUGGGAUGGGAGAGGGAGUAGGAGACGGGAUGGUUUGCACGUGGGAGGGUGGUAAUUGGUAAUGGGGGGGAAGAAACCUCUAUAAUCCAAAAGUUGUACUUUCAGAAUUUAUAUUUAUUAAAUAAAAGUUUUCUAAAAAAAAAGAUUUAUUUAUUUAUUUGAAAGUCAGAGUUACACAGAGAGAAGGAGAGGCAGAGAGAGAAGGCUUCCAUCCACUGGUUCACUGCCCAGGUGGCCGCAAUGGCCAGAGCUGUGCCAAUCCGAAGCCAGGAUCGAGGAGCUUCUUCUGAGUCACCCAUAUGGGUGCAGGGUCCCAAGGCCUUGGGCCAUCUUCUAGUGCUUUCCCAGGCCAUAGCAGAGAGCUAGAUCGGAAGUGGAGCAGCCCAGUCCUGUACCAGUGCCCAUAUGGGAUGCCAGUACUACAGGUGGUGGCUUUACCACUAUGCCACCGUGCUGGACCCUCACUCUACUUUUAAAUACAACUUUUUAGUUAUAUAUACAGAUAAGUUUUUCAUGUUUUAAUUUUAAAGCGCCACAAAAUUUCCAUUGGCCUGCACAGUUAGCAAUUGAUUAUUUAAUGCAAAUGCCUUAAAAUACUGAAUCAGCAGUAUUUUCCAGUAAACCUUUAACAACUUGUUUCCUGAGCCUUUAACUUAGUAUUUAGGAAAAAGUGUAUGGUCUUUAUUAACAGGCGUUAGAAAGCUCAGACAUUCUUUAUUAUUUAAGAAGAUUUUUGAUCCAAUUAACGUUAAAGGUAAAGGGUUUUUAGUUACUUAGCACCAUUCUUCAAAUAGCAGUAUUUUUUCCUCAGUAUAUUCUUUGAUAUUGUUUAGGGAUUACUUUGUUAAACUAGCAACUCAAAAUUUCCUCCACAUUCAUUUCCAAUUAGAUGCCUUUGUACAAAUACUCUGGGUUAGAAAAUGGUCAUAGAAAUAAUACAUCGUUGGUCAAGCCCUCAUUGGUCUCACUGCCUGAGUCUUUCCACUUAGAGUCAUAGACUUGGGGCAAGUCAGAAAUAGAUUAUGAAUCUUCAGAUCCCAGCGUGCUUUCCUCAUGGCAUGUAGCAUGUUCUGAUUAUGACUUCCUUUUGCUCUUCAUGUUAUAACUUGCUUCAUUGUAAAUGUGCUAUUACCUGCUGUAUGUGCUCAGAAUUUUUGUUUGAAUAUUGGUAUGAAGUUUGAAUAUCAAUCUGAAGGUUAAUUCUUUAAAUUGUCUUGUUUGGGUUACUCACUGCCAAGGUUUCCCCCAGCCUGGUUAAUUGUGGGUCAAAAUGUGAUAUUUUGACCUUUGCUUUUCUUGCUGUAGUGUAUUACAAACCUCGUAAUAAUUUGACAUUCACUGCUUUUCAGCGUAUUUGGUGACAUGGACUGCGGGUUUCCAGACACUAGUAUGCAUCAGAAUUAUUUGCAGGGCUUAUUCGUUAAAACACUGAGCCCUGCAGGAAGAGCUUCUGAAUCAGUAGCUCUGGCUUGGAACUUGAGAAGUUUGCUGCUCCUGCUGCUUGCUCCAGAUCUCUGUUCUCAGAACCAUGGAGCUCAUCUUACAGUCUUUUUCCUGUUAAGUGUUAUGCAAGUUGGAAACUGAAUUGAAGAUAUUAUUGUGGCAGGAUUAGUUAAAACAGAAAAACAGUAUGCUUGCAAGGGGGGGGUGGGAAUGUGUAUGUGUUUAAUCUAAAGAACUAAUGCAAGAAAAGAAUUAAAGCUUUAGGAGAAGACAAGAAGCCAGAGAAAUAGGAGGUUCCCAAAGGUCUUGAAAUGCCAAGGACUUUUAGAGUUUGCUUGCAGUGGUUAUAUUUAAUUCUGCUUACCAAUGUGAGAAUUUCCUCUCUUUGAUGCAAGCAUCUUAGUAGGGCCACUUGAAAUGCUUAGUAGAGGUAUUUUUGUUAACUUUUUUUUUUUUUAUCAGGAAUGCAAGAAGUAGGGAGAGAUUUUUUGAGACACCUUAACACUUGGAAUAGUAGAAGUUGGAAAGAGGUCAGAGUAUGAGAAAGAUAGGCAGGAUUUGAAAUUAUCUGGAUUAUUAAUAAGUGAGAGGGGAAGGAAUCAGGAGGGGCGGGGAGAAGAAUGUGUGGGAAGAGAGGUGACUGAGCUCACAGGUGUUUUGUUAGCUUUGUCUUCUACACCAAAUAGGAACAGUCUUCAUAACAGGUGGUUGAUGCAUCACACUGGCUAUCAGAUGAAUGCAAGUUAACUUGUUUUGAAUUGAAGACUAUAGGAAUUUUUUUUAAAGAUUUGUUUAUUUACUUCAAAAGCAGAGUUGCAGAGAGAGAGAAGGAGACACAGAGAUCUUCCAUCUGCCUGUUCCCUCCCCCGAAUAACUGCAAUGUUGGGCUGGGUUUGGCCAAAGUCAGGAGCCAGGAGUUUCUUCCAGGCCUCCUACAUGGGUGAUAGAGGCCCAAAGACUUGGGCCUUUCCUCUGAUUUCCCAGGUGUAUUAGCAGGAAGCUGAAUUGGAAGUAGAGCAGUCUGGACUUGAACCAGAGCUCAAGUAGGAUGCUGGCACUGCAGGUGGUGGCUUAACACACUGUGCCAAAGUGCAGGCUCUGGCUGUGGGAAUUUAAAAGGGUAUAAAAUCAUCUGCGAGGGUUGGGGGGGAAGGGAGGGUGGGUAUGUGAGUUAGAAUUGCUAUAAUCUUAAAGCUCUACCUAUGAAAUUUGCAUUCAUUAAAUAAAAGCUUUCUAAAAAAAAUCAGCUGCAUUUGCUUUUGUUGCAUAAACUCCUUCAGUAAAAAGAAUGUCUCUUCUGCUUUUUCCUUGAAUUCUUUGCUUUUUCUCAAGAUAACCCUUUUAUAAUUGGACAGGCAGAGAGAAAGAGUUCCCAUCCUCUGGUUCAUUCCCCAAAUAUGUGCAAUAGUCUGGGCUGGGCCAGAUUGAACCUCAGAGCCAGAAAACAAUGUAGGUCUCCCAUAUGGGUAGUAAGGAUCCAUUUACUUCAGCCAUUAUCACUGCCUUCCAGGAUAUGCAUUAGCAGGAAAUUGAAUCUGGAGCAUAGCCAUGCAUUGAAUCCAGGAAUUCUGAUAUGCGAUUUGGGUGUCAUAACCACUAUCUCAACCAUUGUGCAAAAUGCUCACUCAAGAUAGCUUUUGAAUUGACCUUUGCAUCAUUCAUGUGGAUCUUUAUGCCAGUUCCUUUUUCAAGAUUCUAUAGCAUUGUCUUUUCAGGAAAAAAAAUCAGUUUUUGUCAUAUGUACCCUAAUAUGAGUUUAAGUUUUGCGUCAAGGACCAGUAUAAACAUAAUAAAGCAUUCCCUAAGUCCUACUCUAAACCAAGUUUCAGUUCAUGUAAACAUCCUACACUCAGCUGUAAUACAUGAAUUGGCUGGGAGGUGGAUGUUUACGUCAGCUGACUUGGAAUACCAACCAAUACUGCUAAGAGAUUUGGCAAGAAAAAUACAGAGGCUUGUUUUUUUCUUAAUGUACAUUUAAAUUACUAGCAUAUCUCUAACAGAACAAAACCCUUUGAUUGGAACAAAAGAAUGUCCUUAUUUGAUAUUUAUAUAUUUGUCAGAUUUAUAGACAUUGCAGUGUAUUUUAACAAGCAUAGGCUUUUGCAUCAGCAUUUGUUGCCAUUUGUACUCCACCAGUGAGUUUGCUAGGGAAUUUGGAGAAGGGAAAGGCCCUGUUUCACACCUUAGUGGUAUUCUCAUCUGCAAAAUGGGCAUGGUGCCCUAUGUGGCAAUUAUGAAGUGGUUCAUUAGUACCUGUCACAUUAAGUACUAAGUAAAUGCUAGCAAUUAUUGAUAUCUACAUCUUAGGUGUUACUGUAUAUAUUAUUUAAGAUACUAUAAAGCUUAAAGUAAACAAAGUUUGGUUUUGUUUUUAAAUGAUGAUGAUACCAACUUGCUGGUUUGAUGAAAAUGGUUUGGCUCUUUGGUAUCACUGUAAUUUAGUAAUAAAGAGUAAAUAUGUAUUUGGUGUAAAUGAUACUUUCCUAUUCAUGCCAUUAUUUAAAAUACUUCAAAUUGAAAUUAAUUUUCUUGUUUUUCAAUUCCAUGAAAUCAGCAUUUUCAUUUUUUGGUGAUACAUCUGUAUUCUCUGGAAAUAAAACACAAGAUAAGAGCUACAAAACCAAAAUUAUGUGAGAAGUACAAAAUAUUCCAGCAGGUUGGCAAGUGUCUAUUCACUCUUCUUGUGUGUGCCUAAAUCCAAAAUUAGAAUUCACUUUUGAAUUUGAUUGUUCUUCCAUGGAAGAUGUCUACACAUGAAAAAUUCACAAUUAAAUAAAAAUGUCAAGUAAAAUGCAUGGGCAUGGAGACUUGUUUUUGGAGGUGAGUACCGUUUUCUAAUUUUAUUUGUUCAAUAGACUAACAGUUUUUAAUUAUUUUCUUUAUUGAGAAAGAGCUAUUCUAUUAUACACAUGGAUGCUAAACAUACCACAUUUCAUUGAGUUCUACACGUUUCUUUGUCAUGAAUCUUGUCGUGCUUAAAUUAUUUUAAAUUGUCGUACAAGAAUAAUGAUGCAGUGUAUUGUGGAAGAGUAUACUCUAAAGCAGUUUUAUGAAGUCUCUUUUUCAAAUUAAGCAUAUUUGGGAAUUCCCCAUCAACUUACCUUUGAAGCUCUGUGCAUAAAAUACAAAAUUUUUCCUUCAUACUGUGAAAUAUAACAAAUUAUUUGCAUAUACUUGUGGUUUAGGCUACCAGAAGAUCUGAGAGUUAAGCUAAUUUUAGUGUUUGAUUCAUUGCUCUUUUAUCUCUUGGUUAGUAGUUACAUAUUUAUUUAUUUAUAUCUGUGUGUUAUACACUGUCAUUAUUUAACAGGGUCUUUGAUCAGUCAGUGUAUAUGAAACUAGAUUUAAAUGAAAAUUCUAGUAUUUCUCUUAUUUGAACUAAUACAAUGAAACAUUCAAGUGACCUGCUUUCCAGCCUUACAAAAAAUAUAUAUACUUGAAUUUUUUAAAAUCUGUAUUUAUUAGAAAUGUAGUUUUUUUGAUGAACAUGUGCUUAUUAGCUUUAAAUUUCACAGAAUUGAAUAAAUAUUAAAAUGUCUCCAUUUUUCCCUUUUGUUUAAUAUUUUACCAUUUGUUAUUUAAUUGUAUUGAUGGUGAACAUAAUACAAAGUUGGAUUUCUCCAUUAACUUUUUGGUAUAUUUUAAAAUUAAACUAUUUUUCUAUUAGGUUUGGAGAUUUGAUAUAUUUUCUCACAUUAUUUGCUGAGAAUUUGGCAUAAAUUAUUCAGUCUUUCACAUUUCUUUUUAUUUUUCUCACCUUAUCUGUUCUCAGUAGGAGAAUUUUGUGGUGCUGAAUGUCUCCUUUAGACCUUAAUGAAUGAAAAAUGUCAGUUAAAUUGAGGGAAUCUAUGAUAUAUAAUGGAGGGUUUUUUUUUUUUUAAUGAUUUUUAUUUAGAUGAGAAGUAGAGCCACAGACUGAGAGAGGAAGAAACAGAGAGGUCUUCCAUCUGCUGGUUCACUCCCCAAAUGGCUGCAAUGGCCAGAGCUGGGCAAAUCUGAAGCCAGGAGCCUCCUCUGGAUCUCCAGCGUGGGUGCAGGGGCCCAAGCACUUAGGCCAUAUUCCACUGCUUUCCCAGGCCACAGCAGAGAGCUGGAUAGGAAGUGGAGCAGCUGGGUCUCGAAUCAGCACCCAUUUGAAAUGCCAGUGCUACAGGCAAAGGCUUAGCCCAUGAUGCCACAGCGCUAGUCCCUAUAAUGGAGUUUACCUUUUAGUUAUAUUUAUUUCAGUUUGUAGAAUGAUUUUUAUAGAUAAAUGUCAAAGCAUUAUGUAGUGGAAAAUAUUAUGCAAAAUUAUAAUAAACAGCCAUGUAACCUAUUUCUAUUGUAAUGGCUUAAUAUUGAAAGUUUUGUUUUUAACUAGAAAUAUUCUUAUUUUUAAAUUCUGGGUCAAAUUAAAAGGUGGGACAGGUGUUGUGGUGCAGGCAUUUAAACUUCUGCUUGUGACAUCUACAACCCACAUAAGACUGCCUGUUUGAGUCCUGGCUACUCUGCUUCCUGUCCAGCUUCCUGGUAAUGCAUCCUGGGAGAGAGCAGAUGAUGGCUCAAAUGCUUCUACCCCAUCAUCUAUGUUGGAGAUCUAGCCCCUGGCUUCAGCGUGACCCAGCCAUAGUAGCUGUGAGCACUUAGUGAGUAGAUGGAAAAGUUUUCUCUCACUGGCUUGUUCUUUGUCCCUUUCAAGUAGAUGAAAAUAAACAUUUUUUUUAAAGUUUUUAGUUUUAAGCUUUUUUUUUUUUUUUUAAGAUUUAUUUACUUUAAAGGCAGGGUUACAGAGAGAGAGGCAGAGGCAGAGGCAAAGAGAGAGAGAGAGAGUCUUCCAUCUGCUGGUUCACUCCCCCAGAUGGCUGCAGUGAGUGGAGCUGGGCUAAUCCGGAGCCAGGAGCCAGGAGCUUCUUCCGGGUCUCCCAUGUGGGUGCAGGGGCCCAAGGACUUGGGCCAUCUUCUACUGCUCUCCCAGGCCAUAGCAGAGAGCUGGAACGGAAGUGGAGCAGCUGAGUCUAACUGCGCCCAUGUGGGAUGCCAGCACUGCAGGCGGCGGUGGCUUUACCCGCUAUACCACAGCACCGGCCCCAGUUUUAAACUUUUUAAUUUGAGCUACCAGUAUAUUAUUGAAAGCAAUGGUAUUUCACAUUUAGGAUUUCUAUAUACGUAUAAGUGAAGAUUAUUUAAUUUUAUAGAAAAGACUUUUACCCCUGGGUAUUUUUCACAGUUUAGUACACAGUAUUCCUGUUAGGCUAAGUAACACUGUUCCAUGAACUAAGGUCUUAGAAAAAGAACCUGUUCAGCUACUGUCUUGAAACUAUCCAUGUACAAUUAUAACUGGUUUAAAAGUUCUGACCUUUUCAUUGCUUGCUUCAAAAUAGUUCUUUAAAGAUUAUUAAGUUAUGUUCAGUAAUUGUCCUUCUGUCAAAAAUUAUUUAAUAGCAGAAUUUGGGCUGCUUUGUUUUUUUAAAAGUAAUUUGAGAAACUGCUUUAGUCACUUGUUCUCCAUGCAAAUUUUAUGAGCUCAAAUGCACCAAGGGGCAGGGGGAGGAUUUUCAUAAGGUUUCCUUGGUUGGAAAAUGUACAAGGUACCUAAAGGUACACAACUGCCUUUAGAUAGCCCCAUCAUUUAUACACUGUUAUAAGAAGUUUGCUCCCUCAACAGGUUAUCUGUGAAAAUUUUUGUUUUAGGUAUUAUAUUUAUAUUUAAUAAUAUCUUGCUUAAAAUGAUCACCUGUGUAUAGUCUAUAGCACAGUUAAUGUUAACCAAAUACUGAGUUACUUUCAAGAUAAGAUAUAAGUUUGAAUGAGAAGGAGUUUGGGGACUAGGCAAUUGUUGGUCUCAGACAUGGGAUGCUGACAUUGCAAGCAGUGGCUUAACCCUCUGUGCCAUGAUGCUGGUCCCAGAGGUCCCAAUGAGAGUUUGGCACAGUGAUUGAAGGUGUCACUUGGAAUGCAGCAUCCUAUAUGAGAGUGCCCAGGUUUGAGUCCUAGCUCUGCUUCUGGUGCAGCUUCUUGAUAAAGCACACCCUGGAAGGCAGGAAAUAAUGGCUGAAGGCUUUGAGUCUCUGCUAUCCCUGGGAUGAGUUAGGAGCUCCAGGCUUCAGGUUAGCUCAAACCCAGCUGUUGUGGACAUUUAAGUGACCCAGCAGAUGGAUAUGUACUUGCCUGUUUUCUCUCUCUCUCUCUCUCUCUCUCUCUCUCUCUCUCUCUGUGUGUGUGUGUGUAAGAAAAACUUUUUAAAAUAAAAAUGAGAUCCUUUCUCACUGUCAGUGCUUCCUUAGGAGACGGUGCAAUGGUAAGAACAUUAUUAGAGAUAAAGGGUGUAAAGAUCCUUUUUCUACUCACACACCACUUAACACAUCUCUGUCACCAAAAUGUGUGGGGGAUAUAUCCUCACCAGUAGUCAAGCAAUCCUUUCUACAAUUAUUCCAGUGGGCACCAGCCUGUCCUCUAAUUCAGUAUGAUUCUGAUACUGCUUAUGCUGGAGAUAGACUGUGAUCCACUGACAGAUACAGGUUGUGGCCCAUGCUUCUAACCUACCAGCUGUAAGUCAGGGUUCCCAUAAUCCCUCCUCAGGUGUGGGUAGUUUCCUAGAGCAGCUUUCAUAAUUCAUGAAAUGACUUUACUUACAUUUUAUGCAUUUAUCAUAAAGGAUGUCAAAAUAAUUCAGAUUGACAGACAGAUGGAAGAGAUACAUAGGGAAGGGGCAUAGAGCUUCCAUGGCCUCUCCAAGUAUGCACCCCACCUGCCCCGGCAGGGUGCCUCUGUAUGUUCAAGCUAUCUGAAAGUUCAUCCGAACCUUUUUGGGUUUUUAUGGCGGCUUCAUUAUACAAGGAGGAUUGAUUAGUUCAUUGGCCAUUGGUGAUUACCUCAACCUAGGACCUCUUCUGUCCCCUCCCCUUCCCAAUUUGGGGAGUGGGGCCAAAAGUCCCAACUUUAACAAUGCCUUGGUCUUUCUGGUAAAUAGCUUCCAUCCUGAAGCUAUCUAGGUGCCCCCAGCCCCAGGCCAUCUGAUCAUCAUACAAGAAAGACAACUUGUCACUCCAGAGAUUCCAAGUGUUUUAGAAGCUUAUGUCAGGAAACAAUUGAAGACUAAAUAUAUAUUUCACAGUGUCACAAACAUACUCUUGAGAAUUACAUAGAGCUCCAAUCUAAUUUGGGCUCCAUCACUUGCCAUUUGUGCAACCUUGAAUAAGUUGUUAGUUUCCCUGAAUAGUUCUCUGGUAAAGAAAAAAGUAAUUGUGUCAGGUUGUUAUGAAAAUUAGAUAGGAGAGCUAUGUGAAGGACCCUGCACAGUGCUGGUAACAAAAGUGUUUGGUAAGUGCUACAUUUUUUGCUCUCAAGAUCAUAGGAGCUCCCUUAAUGUCCCCCAAAUCAUAAAAUGUGUAUCCUAGUCAAUCUUAAAAGUCAUCUACCUGGGGCCAGUACUGUGGCAUAGUGGGUAAAGCUGUAGCCUGCAGUGCCAGCAUCCCGUAUGGGUACCAGUUUGUGUCCUGACUGUUGCACUUGCGACCCAGGUCUAUGCUAUGGCCUGGGAAAGCAGUGGAAGAUGGCACAAGUGCUUGAAACCCUGGACCCACAUGGGAGACCUGGAAGAAGCCUUGGGCUCCUGGCUUCAGAUUGGCCUGGCUUCAGCCAUUGCGGCCAUUUGGGAAGUGAACCAGCAGAUAGAAGAUCUCUCUCUCUCUCUCUUUUUCUGCUUCUCUGUAACUGUCUUUCAAAUAAAUCUUUAAAAAAAAAAGUCAUCCACCUUGGAGCCGAUGCUUUGGCAUAGUGGGCUAAGCCUCUGCCUGCAGUACCAGCAUCCCAUAUGGGUGCUGAUUACUGUCCUGGCUGCUCUUCUGAUCCAGGUCUCUGCUUAUGGCCUGGGAAAGUUGUGGAAGAUGGUUCAAGUGCUUGGAACCCUGUACCUGUGUGGAAGACCCAGAAUAAGCUCCUGCCUCCUAGCUUCAGAUCGGCCCAGCUCCAGCCGUUGCAGCCAUCUGGGGGGUGAACCAGUGGAUGAGUGGAUGGAAGACCUUUAUCUUUCUCUGUUUUUCUCUCUGUAAUUCUACCUCUCAAAUAAAUAAAUCUUACAAAUAUAUAUAUAUAAACACAUGCCAGUCUGUUCAUUAAAAAAAAAAAAAAGUCAUCUACCUUGAAUCUUUAUGGUAAAGUAUUCCUUUUAAACUGAAUGUAUCUAUAGUACAUUUUUUUUUCCCCUAAGGAAGUUAAAUUUCUUUUUCACAGAAGUGUUCACAUCUUUAGCUUCAAACUGAACAAAAAAAGAUAAAUAGUAUGUAUUGUUUGGUUUGUAUGAAACAGUAAUUAAGCAAGUCUCAGUCAAAGCAGGUAAAAGAUCUCCAAGGACUAACAUCAGAAAAGGUGAUAGCACUCUGACCUCAGAAUCAGCCCUUGAGGCAUAUGGAUCUGACUGAAAAGCUCAUGAGAGCAUUUAGGUAUGGAAAGCCAAGAUACUGUGGUAAAAAAUGAUCUACAUGAAGGAUCUCUGUGAGUGAGACCCCAGUGGAAAGAAGGGGCCACAAAGAAGGAUGUACUUUUCUCUGAAGGGAGGAGAGUUUGGCUAUGACCCUGUCUAAAUAUUGACAGUUUGUGGACUCAAAGGGCUUCCAUAGUCUUGGUAGCUCAUGUCAAGAGCCUGGGGUGAUCACUGACAUCAUAUAUAAGAAUGAAAUUGUUAAAUCAACAACAGGAGUUACUGUGCACUUGCUCCACAUACAGGACCUCUGUUCUUAAUGUGUUGUACUCUGAGAAUCAACAGUGAAACAUGUCUUCGAGCAGUACUUUAUACUUUGUGUGUCUGUGUGGGUUCAAACUGUUAAAAUCUUUACUUAGUAUAGAGUUGAUCUGUAUAUAAAAAUAAGUAAAAACGAAUUUUAAUGAAUAGAAUGGGAGAGGGAGUAGGAGGUGGGACGAUUUGGGGGUGGGAGGGCAGAUAUGGGGGGAACAACCGCUAUAUUCCAAAAGCUGUGUCUUUGAAAUUUAUAUUUAUUAAAUAAAAGCUUUCAGAAAAGAAAAGAAAAGAUGAACCAGAGUGCCUAAAAACUUUAGUAUGGGCCAGGCCAUGCAGGAGUGUUGUAACAGCAACAAAGGUAGAUAGCAAGAUAGAAGUUAGAGUUAGUGCUCUGGGCAGACCAGAACAGGUUAUAUUAGAGAAGUCUUCUAAAACUGUGUUGGACACACUGAGAUUUGAAUUAAUCCUUCGUAUUUAUUUCUAUUUGUAACAGGUUGAGUAGGUAAAAACCAGUGUUCAUAGAAGUUGACAAACUGUUUUGUUUCUCAAUCUUUUCAUGCCAUUGCUUCUAAAACACUGAUAUUUAUGGUGAAUAUCUUGUUUUAAAUAUCACCUAAGCAAAUUAAAUCAUAUUUCCUUAUGCUGCAGUCACUUAAUGACUUCAUCCUGUGGUGAGUUGGCAUGUGAUUUGAGAUAGCUCUCAGUGCUAAUGGACUAUUUGAAGGAGUUAAAGACACAAAGACAGUAACAUUUUCAGGACAAAAGUGUACAUGCAAUAGGCCCCUUGAUAGAACAAAUGAGAACGCUGUUUUUUUAAUGACCUUUUGCUAAUGCGUUAAGCAGUAUGACCUCAUAUCCUUAUAUGUAAAUGAAAGUGUCAUAGUCAUUUAAGUUCUUUUUCCUCUGUGAUUCCACCCAGUUAUUUGUUUUAUUAUUGGUGUAUGUCAGUAGAGCACAGUAUUUAGUAGCGUGAGUUCUAGGUUAAAGCAUCUAGAUUCAUUUGUAAAAUGGGUUUGGUUUAUCUCUUAAAUCUUAUCAGGAUUUGAUUAGAUAAUCCAGACAAGUCAGCAUAGGCAUUACCUGGCAUGUAUCAAACACUCAGGAAAUAUCCCAUUCUUCAAAACCCAGUUCAAAUGUUGCCUUUUUUUUUUUUUAAGAUUGAUUUAUUUAUUUGAAAAAGUUAUGGAAAGAAAGGAAGAGACAGAGAUCUUCCAAGAACUUGAGCCAUUCUGCUACUUUCUCAGGCCAUUAGCAGGGAGCUGGAGUGGAAGUGGUACAGCCAGGACUCAAACUGGAACCCAUAUGGGAUGCCAGCAUUACAGGCCAUGACUUAACCCGCUGUCCCACAGCAUUUGGCCCAUUAGCUGCUGCUUAAUUUAUUUAGUGGUUAUAACAUAUGAGCCUUCAUUUCCUAUGAGGGUUUGGGCCAGGUCAUUUCCCAAUUACCGUAUUUUAAAGCAGCCUCUGAAAAUCCUCAUAACUUCUAAUUUCUCCCCUCCCUGUUCUUAUUGGACUUUGUCUUUUUGAUAAAUAUUUUCUUCCAGCAUUGUUUGAUGUUUUCCUCAUUUGAUUUACUUUUUUAAAAUGUCUCAUGUAAUGACUGAAUUAAGCUGCAGUGUAAGUAGCAGAAAGCCCCACAACAGUAGCUUUAAAAAGAUGGGGGCUCUUAUAGAGUUCCCAAGUUGGCUUUGGGGCAUUGCCACCAUUACAUCCUUAAAAUAGAUGGCAGGAGAAGUCAGAGGCCAUGUUGCCCCUGUCAGGAAACUCCCAGCUUGUGGCUUAUUUGCCACAACUGUAUUUUAUGAAUGGUUCCUAAUCAUGGGGGUCUUCAAAAGGUUCAUGGAAAUGUUUUUGGGUUUAAAAAAAUGCAUGGAUUUCAGAAGGGUUUUGCCCCUAAAUAAAUUUUUAAUUCCUUUUUUCCACAAAUUUUUUUUUUAUUUGACAGAUAGUUAGACAUUGAGAGAGAGACAGAAAGAUCUUACGUUGUUGAAAGAUCUCCCCAAAUGGCUGCUGCCGCUGGAACUACGCCGAUCCGAAGCCAGGAGCCAGGUGCUUCCUCCUGGUCUCCCAUGUAGGUACAGGGGCCCAAGCACUUGGGCCAUCCUCCACUGCCUUCCUGGGCCACAGCAGAGAGCUGGACUGGAAGAGGAGCAGCUGGGAUUAGAAUCCGGCACCGCAGGCAGAGGAUUAACCAAGUGAGCUACGGCGCCGGCCCCCUCCACAAAUUUAAAGUCCCUUUGUAGUUAUCUUGCUGGGCACAUUGUCACUAUGAACAAGAAGUUUGGUUUGGAUCAUUGUUCUGACUCUUAACAAGUAGACCUUUUCAGGCAUUUAAGUUGCCACUUUUCCUAAAUCUCAGAGGAUUUAGGAAGGCUGUAAGGCUGAAGAACACCAAGUGUAGAUAACAUGUCUGGAGAUGAGCUCGUUUUCAGGAAUCUUGCUGACAUGGUGGACUGUACUAAGUCAUCCUACCAUCACCGUACCAUAGGUCCAGAUUCAGAGAUGACAGAGAAAACAGAAAAAAAAAUACACACACACACAUGCUAUUGACUACACACACACACACAUGCUAUUGACUACAAAAGAAAAGAGGCAAUUCUAGCUGCCAGAAAUGAGAAAACAGUGGUACAGUAGUCACCUGAGGAGCUAAAAUUGCACUGCCCAAGGAAAUGGUCACCUUGGCUAUAAGCCAGGUGGUCUGUGGGAUUUUUUAGAGCAAGAGAUGUAUCCUGACAAUACAGGGAGGGGCAGGGGACUGAGGCCUACACAAAACUAAGACCCCAGAAGGUGCUGCAGUCUCAGGAAAGGGGGUAAGCAGAAUUCUACCCAACAGUCCAGGGAAACAACAAAACUGAACCCAAGACUUUGAGCUAGAAAGGAAGAUUUCCCUGGGAAACAGUUGAAAUUCAGUUUUACUGUCAGAGUACUCAUGAUGUUUCACAUCUGUGUAGUGUGUCAGGUUAAGUGUUUGCUUUAAUGAAACCACAAGAUAAAAGUGUCUCUGAGGCUUCUAAGGUAAUGUUAUUGGGGAAAGGAAUUGACUGGUAUAAAUAUCAGACACAUUUGAAGAAAAUUUCUUAAAACAGAGGAAUAAGUUAGAGAACAACUAAAAGUGGCAAAAUGAAAGUAAGUACGUGGAUGAUGUAAUGUGCAUGUAUAGCUUAGGAGUUUAAGGAAAGAAUAGAAGGGACAAGGCAAUUAGGAACUACCUAAGGUGAUUACUCACGUGCAACUCUUGGUGGACAAGGGUACUCAUUGAAGGCUGGGGCAGGGUGAUGGGUUGCAUUAUUAGCCAUAGAGCAUGUUCUGCAAGCUCAGCAAAGUUGCUGUCCUCAGUGAGGUGCCACCUCGCCUGAAAGCUUACUCCAAAAAGCAGUAUUCUGUUACUCAUAACAAAGCCUGUGCUCAUGGCUGGACAAGAACCAUUAGUCCCCCAUGCUGAAGGGUGAAAAGUACAGGCCCAGCUGGUUCACUGGCCUGUUCCUGCAAGGAUGAGGAGCAUUGCUAAUGGCCAACCUGAAAACCUUCACUUUCACUGUUGGAGACCGAUUGUUGACAUUUAUAAUUCUAGUUAACAAAACAUUAGUGUUACCAUAAAAGUUUCUGACAUUUAAAAUGUAAGUUAAACACUAUAUUGAUUGAGGAUAUAGAAAACAGCGCCUGGAAUUAUUUACACAGGAAUAUAGGUUCUGUGAUUAGAACAUUGGACUGUUCUUUGUUGCUAAGAAUACUAGCAGGAUGUAAGUAAGGAUUUUAUAUAAUUUACAUAGCAUGCUGGAAUGUUUUAAAUAUAAACUAACAAAUAUCUUUGUUGGAAGUGAUGAAGUUUAUAGAAUUGAUUAAAGCCAUAUCAAAAAUGACAUUUGCCUCCAGAAAGAGAACCAAAGUAACAGUGCUUAAGCUGUUAAGAUUGUAUUUUUCUGUCAGAUGGAGGGUGUCCAGUGCAGACAGUACAAGGUUAGUUGGAUUCUAGACUUUUUGGCUCUGUAUGUUUCAUUAUCUUUACCUUGUGACUACCACAGUGCUCACACUUCAGGUAAGGGGCAAGGACCAAGAGAGACUCUGCAGAUGUGAUGAUGAGAACUUGAGGGGAACGUGAGACUUUGUCUCUAGAAGGCAUCCACGGAAGGAUGUUGAAAGGAGAAAUCAGGAAUAAAUGAUUAAUGCAAAUGGAUAAAUUCUAAAGUGGGAUCAUUAGGUGAACAUUCCUAUAGCUCUGAAAGCUAACAGCCAACCUGGGAGAGGGUGUCCAUGAACUGGUUUUCUUGUGAUCCCGGCCAUUCACAAGGAAUGGCCAGGUGUGUCUUCUUGAGUGCACCUGUGAAGACUUGAGAGCUAGAAGUUUGAUCCUGCUUCCACUGAGGUAACUGUGCACAGUGGCACCUGGUAAGGUCCCUUCUGUUCACGCUGCAGCUGAUCUGAAGAGGAUCUUUCUGUGAUCGGCCGACUCAGGAAUUCCCAAUAUUGGAGCUUCUGCUAAAAACUCCUUCCUUCCUUGGAACACCUUUUGUAGCUCCCCUGGCCAGCACAGUGUCUGUGUCAGGGGCUUUUUAAAGCCCUUACAAAGGCUUGGAAUCCAAAUCUUGGAAUCCGUAUUCCACAGAAUCUUGCUGUUCCCAGAAAUCUCCUUAGUUGCCUUUUAACUCUUUGAAGACCAUAUGUAUACAAUAGCUUCCCUUCUCUUGACUGAGAGAGUAAACUUUCGUAGAGUUAGAACAUAUCCCAGGUAAUCUACCUCUAGUUGAGAAACUUGGGCUUUGUUUGGGAAGUUUUGUAUCCUCACUAUCCCAGAUUCUGAGUUUAGUGGGAUGCAGAAGAAAUUCUCUCUUAGGUAAAGGUUUAGCACACAGUAAGAUGCAUUGAAACUGUCUCAUUAGUAGUCCUGAGACCUUUAACCAUUCUGUACUCUGUAUUUGAUCUUACAUCAAAACAUACAAGAUAGGAAUAUCAUAAGGAAACAUGGAUUUACGAGUUUACAUUUGAGACACUUAAUAAACUUUAAAGAAAUACCUAAGAAUACAGGCAAUGGAGUUUGACACUAAACAUAACUAAAGCUUGUGACACAUAAGAAUAUAACACACUAGAACAAGGUAAAUCUUUGGGAAUAAGUUUUACCAUUAAUGCUAACAUGUAGCUCUUUAAGGACACAGGUCCUUCAUGAGAAGUUAGUACACAGUGACUCUUGUUGUUAAUUUAGUAAUAAACACUUUUAGGUAUGACAUCAGUGAUCAUCCAAGGCUCUUGACAUGGGCUGCCAAGGCUAUGGAAGCCUUUUGAAUCCACAAACUUCAUCAGUAUUUAGACAAAGCCAUAACCAAAGUGGAAGUUCUCGCCUUCCUUCAGAGAAAAGUACAUCCUUCCUUAAUGAACCACGUCUUUCCACUGGGGUCUCACCCAGGGAGGUCCUCCAUGUAGGGACACUUUUUGCACGAGUGUCCUGGCUUUCCAUGCCUGAAAUGCUCUCGUGGGCUUUUCAGACAGACCAGAAUGCCUUUUAGGGCUGACUCUGAGGUCACUGUGUGCUACUUACAGCAGUUGCCAUUCUAUGAGUCUGCUGUAUGGACUGCACCCCAUGUUGGAGGAUUUACUCCUCUUUAAUUCUAGUUAUUAUCAUUAUCAGAUACUCAAUCAUAUUUAUUAUUAGCAGUAAACACUUAAUCCUAUUGACAUGAUCAGUUUAACAAUCAAUCCCAGCUAUAUGAUCACUUUAAAACUUAAUCCUAUCUAUAUAUGUUCACUUUAAAAUUUAAGAUGUUACUUUCACCAUGCAGCCGAAGGGGAUUUGUGAGCUUUUAAACUGUACCCUUAGAAGUAAGUCUGUAGGAAAGCAUGCAGGGCUAUCCAGCUUUAUAGUUUUCUUUGUAGGACCCGAGAAGAUAAGAACAGACAUAGCUCCUCAGGAGCUUAAUUAUCCUCAAGCAUUUGACACGGAUACGUGUGACUAAGCGACUUCUGUUCUGCAUUACAAAUCAAGUUUUGAAAUGUCAUUAACACUAAGAGACCCAUUUAUCAGCCUUGUUGCACCAUUUCCCAACCCAUAGGUAGGCCAUACAGUAUUGCAAAGAGUGACCAUCCUUUCCUUAGUAAUAUCACCUAGCUUAAGGGCCUCCCAAUUUUUAAGUAUAGAUCCUACGGGCGUCUCCAAGGGAGCAGAUGUAGAGCUGGCCAUAGUUAAAUCAUCUCAUAACCUGAGAGACAAAAGGUAAAUAGGGCUAAGCUUGGGCUCAGUUAUAUCUCCGAACAUGUGCCUUAACAAGUAAUCUGACAUCCCAGAGUUCCUAUACCUACUAUAGAGUUUAAUAUAAUAUAGUUUAAUACAUAUGUUAUUUAUAUAAGUUACAUACAUUAUACAUAUUAUGUGUAUCACAUAUAUAUCAUAUGUAAUGCAUAUGUGCUACAUACAUUUAUGCCGUGUAUAUAUGUAUAUGUAUUAUAUACACACACAUAUAUAAGAAGGGGGUGAAUCUAUAGAUGUAUAUGUAUUGUAUACACACACACAUAUAUAAGGGGGUGGGUCAAGCGCAGGGCUAUUUAAAACACCUGGGCAGAGCCGCAAAACAGGCCGAGCUUUAACCCACUGCACCACAGUGAUGGCUCCCUACCUCAUUUAAUUUUUACAGAAACCUUGUGUUUAGCUGUUUUGGUUCUGAAGGAGAAGGCUACACAGCCACACACAAGUUUUACAAGGCAGAGUUGACUCUGGGAGCCCAGUUCUGGAUACUCCGCAUUUACUGAGUGCCUGUGGUUUGUCUGGGAUUGUGUGAUACAGCAGGCCUCUUCAGAAGAGGCACAAGGCCUAUGCCAAACGAGGGUCAAAGAGCCACUGAGCUCAUUAUAGAGACCGUAUUUCAAAUUCUCUGUCUCCGCUUCUCUCUGUUUUAUGACGAAGUAUGGCAGGUGACACUUAGGAUCCUUUUCUGUCCUCCCUCUACAAACUCUUCCAGGCACUGCUCUGCAUGGCAGUGGGAGGAGCCAAAGGAGAGGCACCCUGGUGGAGAGGGGUGUGACAGAGGCUCACUCAGCUUCACUUGCAAUCGCAAGAGCCCUUUAAGCCAGGGCUGCGCAGCCUCACUGGUGAGGUAUGGGAAGGUUGCUGAGGGAGGAGAAUCAAGCUUGAGCAAAGGAGAGUGAGUGUCAGCUGCCCCUGAAAACUGUGGUCUGUAAAGGGAGGGAGAGGACAAGCAUUGUGGGUGUCUGGCGGGGGGGGGGGGGGGGUGUUGCUUUUUAUUUUAAUUUUAUUUAUUUGAAAGAGAGAUCUCAUCUGCCAGUUCUCUUCCCCAGAUGCCUGCAAUAGCUGGGGCUGGACGAGACCGAAGUCAGGAACUCAAUCUAGGUCUCCCAUGUCGGGUGGUAGGGACCCUACUACCUGAGCCAUCACCCACUGCUUCCCAAGCUGUAUGUACAUUAGUGGGGAGCUGAACAUGGGAAUGACGCCGAGACUGAAACCCAGGCAUGGUAUAUGGGAUAUGGUGUCCCUAAGCAGGUUCUUAACCAUUGCACCAAACCCUGACACUGGGCUUUGAAUGAGUGCAGCUUGCUCUGGGGAAAGUUGGGUCAUGUUGAUGGCAUCCAGCUCAGCCCAUUUCUCUCUUUGUCUUCUCAGGUCUAGCUUCAGACGAUGGCCAGGCCCGCUUCUGGGGAUUUAAAGCUUCAGGCAGCCCACUCCAUCCCAAGCCCCCUGCUGCCUUCACAGUCUGCCUCCCAGGGCCACUUGAUUCCUCUUUGCAAGGUUGACCUAUGGUGGAAAGGCCUUGGGACAAAGCCCCACUUAUGUAGCUUUUGGACAGGAUACACAGGACCAACGUGGAGAAGGGCCCAGGACCUGGGCUGUGAGCUCCUUCAGGACAGAGGCUGUAUCUGUGUGUCCGCAUCCACUCACACACUGCGGUUUCUGAGACCCAGAAGACGGAAGAAUGCAUGAACCUGGCCCUCCCAACCCCAUUUUACAGAUGGAGAAACCAAGGCUCGGAGAGGGGCUAUGAGCUGCUCUAGGUUCUGAAGCUAACUAACUAGUAGCACACCGGGAUCUCCCAAAUCCAAGUCCUGUUAUUCUCAUUACAGCUGCCUGAACUUUUCUUCUGCAUUCCUUACCCCCCUACCCUGGCUUAAGGUCACGCACAAGGACAUGCAUUUGGACACACACACACACACACACACACACGUAUCUACACAACCAUUUACUCGGAGCUGUAGAUGUUUGUUCUUUCUUCUUUCUUUCCACCAGCCGAAGAUAAGGUUGAAUUGGUGAAAA